AGUAAGCUGUGACUUUGCUCUCUGUAGCUCCAAUCUAGCUGCUUCUGUGUUGCAUUCUUCUAUCUGGGUUUAGUAAGCUGCAAGUUCCUGUCGAAAGCCCAGGCCUCUUGAGUUGUGAUUAAGGAGUGACUGCUCCAAGGUCUCCCAUCUUUCCAGUAUCUGCAAGAGUCUACAUGAAAACAAGAACAUUAGAGUCUUGGAUCCAACACCAGUAUGAUAACUUUCAAUUUCUAAAACUUCAUGUGAAAACGGAAGUAACAUGCUGGAAAUGA
rnacentral:lncRNA from 1 species